rnacentral:lncRNA from 1 species
GUUAUUUUCACCAUCACCAUACCAACUCCUGCUGCCUUUUUUUCCGGUAUUAAGUAAGUAGUAAGUAAGUGAAGUGGUGAAUUGGCCAUUGGAAAGGAGGAAUAGGGCUCAUUUCACGUAUAUCUAUUUAUUCUACUUUUCUUUUUUUUUUAAGGCAAACCUUUAUGUCAAAGCAACGGUUCUCUCUAACCUUCUCUUACUCGCCUUACUUGAAACCUGUCCAUUUUUCGUACUAAAAACUUCUCACCUCUGUGCCUUCUGUACUUCUCGGCUCAAGCAAGAGCCACAGUGACUGGAACAAGAGUAAAGCCACCUUAAUCAGUCAAGCAAGCAAUUUGAAUAGGGAUUAUGAACAGGCUCUUACCCGUUCGAUUGAUUGUUCUAAAGUCGAAUUGAAAGGUAGGUUUUGUC